CAUCCAACGCGUUGGGAGCUCUCCCAUAUGGUCGACCUGCAGGCGGCCGCGAAUUCACUAGUGAUUCGUAUUACCGCGGCUGCUGAGCCAGAGUUAAACUCUACUUAUUCCCGCGGUCGUCAUGGCGGCAAAGUAUUAAUUUACUGCCCUUCCUCCCAACUUAAAGUGCUUUACAAAGACCUUCUUCACACACGCGGCAUUGCUGGAUCAGGGUUGCCCCCAUUGUCCAAAAUUCCCCACUGCUGCCUCCCGUAGGAGUCUGGACCGUGUCUCAGUUCCAGUGUGGCUGGUCGUCCUCUCAGACCAGCUACUGAUCGUUGCCUUGGUGAGCCUUUACCCCACCAACUAGCUAAUCAGAUAUCGGCCGCUCCAUGAGCAUGAGGUCUUGCGAUCCCCCACUUUCACCCUUGGGUCGUAUGCGGUAUUAGCGUAACUUUCGCUACGUUAUCCCCCACUCCUGGGUACUUCCGAUAUAUUACUCACCCGUUCGCCACUCGCCGCCAGGUUGCCCCGCGCUGCCGCGACUUCAUGUGUAAAGCAUGCCGCCGCGUCAUCUGAGCCAGGAUCAAACUCUAAUCGAAUUCCCGCGGCCGCC
rnacentral:rRNA from 1 species